rnacentral:rRNA from 1 species
UGGUGGAGUGAUUUGUCUGGUUAAUUCCGUUAACGAACGAGACCGCUGCCUGCUAAAUAGUCCGGCGAGUGAAUUUCACUGGCUGGGACUUCUUAGAGGGACGUGCAUUUUAUUAGAUGCAGGAAGAUAGCGGCAAUAACA